rnacentral:rRNA from 1 species
GUAUGGGGAUCUGCCCGAUAGAGGGGGAUGACUACUGGAAACGGUGGCUAAUACCGCAUAAUGUCUACGGACCAAAGCAGGGGCUCUUCGGACCUUGCACUAUCGGAUGAACCCAUAUGGGAUUAGCUAGUAGGUGGGGUAAAGGCUCACCUAGGCGACGAUCUCUAGCUGGUCUGAGAGGAUGAUCAGCCACACUGGGACUGAGACACGGCCCAG